rnacentral:rRNA from 1 species
CACGUAGCUAGCCGGGGCUUUCUUCUCAGGUACCGUCACUCUGAGUUCAGUUACUAACUCAGACGUUCUUCCCUGGCAACAGAGCUUUACGAUCCGAAAACCUUCAUCACUCACGCGGCGUUGCUCCGUCAGACUUGCGUCCAUUGCGGAAGAUUCCCUACUGCUGCCUCCCGUAGGAGUCUGGGCCGUGUCUCAGUCCCAGUGUGGCCGAUCACCCUCUCAGGUCGGCUACGCAUCGUCGCCUUGGUGACGCCGUUACCUCACCAACUAGCUAAUGCGCCGCAGGCCCAUCCUCAGUGACAGUAUGCUCCGUCUUUCCAAAUUCGUUCAGGCGAACAAAUCAUGUAUUCGGUAUUAGCUUACCGUUCCGGUAGUUCGCCCAAGUCUUGAGGGCAGGGUUGCCGUACGUUGUUACUCCACCCGUCCGCCGACCUAAGAACUAGAAAGAAGCAAG